CGUAAGCGGCUCGUAGGCGGUUUUCUUUAAGUNCUGAUGUGAAAGCCCCCGGCUCCAACCGGGGAGGGUCAUUGGAAACUGGGAAACUUGAGUGCAGAAGAGGAGAGUGGAAUUCCACGUGUAGCGGUGAAAUGCGCAGAGAUGUGGAGGAACACCAGUGGCGAAGGCGACUCUCUGGUCUGUAACUGACGCUGAUGAGCGAAAGCGUGGGGAGCGAACAGGAUUAGAUAC
rnacentral:rRNA from 1 species